rnacentral:rRNA from 3 species
CCAGACAGCCAGGAUGUUGGCUUAGAAGCAGCCAUCAUUUAAAGAAAGCGUAAUAGCUCACUGGUCGAGUCGGCCUGCGCGGAAGAUGUAACGGGGCUAAACCAUGCACCGAAGCUGCGGCAGCGACGCUUAUGCGUUGUUGGGUAGGGGAGCGUUCUGUAAGCCUGUGAAGGUGUGUCGUGAGGCAUGCUGGAGGUAUCAGAAGUGCGAAUGCUGACAUAAGUAACGAUAAAGCGGGUGAAAAGCCCGCUCGCCGGAAGAC